rnacentral:rRNA from 1 species
GAUGAACGCUGGCGGCGUGCUUAACACAUGCAAGUCGAACGGUGAAGCAGAGCUUGCUCUGUGGAUCAGUGGCGAACGGGUGAGUAACACGUGAGCAACCUGCCCCUGACUCUGGGAUAAGCGCUGGAAACGGCGUCUAAUACCGGAUAUGAGCUGCGAUCGCAUGGUCAGCAGUUGGAAAGAUUUUUCGGUCUGGGAUGGGCUCACGGCCUAUCAGCUUGUUGGUGAGGUAAUGGCUCACCAAGGCGUCGACGGGUAGCCGGCCUGAGAGGGUGACCGGGCCACACUGGGGACUGAGACACGGCCCAGACUCCUACGGGAGGCAGCAGUGGGGAAUAUUGCACAAUGGGCGAAAGCCUGAUGCAGCAACGCCGCGUGAGGGAUGACGGCCUUCGGGUUGUAACC